AGUCAAGUAGCUCAGCUGGUAGAGCCUUAGACUCUUAAUCACUGGGUUGUGUGUUCAAGCCCCCACGUUGGGGA